rnacentral:lncRNA from 1 species
UAUUGGUCUUACAUUCUGCACAGGGGCAUAACAAAUGUCUAUUCUGGGGCCCAGGCUUUAGGGAGUUCAGGAUUUUGUAAGAACACAUAUCCACACACCAUAAACAUACACUUAUUAAAGGAUAUGUGUGCUCUGAUGUUAUUCAGAAUCAAGGACUUAGCAGGGGUAGAGUCUGAGUCAUAACUCCAAAUGUUCCCUGCCAUAGCCAACAACAUUCCAGAAACCCGGGGGACAACCCUUCUCUAGGAGUUUUGCCCUAUGGCCUAGAAAUAAAAGACAACUGUGCUUCCAUAGCAUGAAAAUGUUUUGCAUGGAUAAAUAUGAAGAUGAACACUGCUUCGGAAAGCAAGCAGAAUCUGAACAGUAGAAACACACAGAAUGAAUCAUCGGAUUCUUUUUCACUUAUUUUCUUCCCUAUUGGACCAGAUAUCUUCUUUUUGCCCUUCCGUAAAGACUUCCCACCCAUCUCCCUGCUGCUCUUUGCCAUCGCAGGCUAACCUGUUUUGGCUGUUUUUUUUUUCUUCCUUGAAGAAGACCUGUUUUUUUCCAAGGUGGCCUACUUAAUGUAAG